rnacentral:rRNA from 1 species
GUCGACGCUGAAGCUUGGUGCUUGCACUGGGUGGAUGAGUGGCGAACGGGUGAGUAAUACGUGAGUAACCUGCCCUUGACUCUGGGAUAAGCCUGGGAAACUGGGUCUAAUACUGGAUACGACAUGUCACCGCAUGGUGGUGUGUGGAAAGGGUUUUACUGGUUUUGGAUGGGCUCACGGCCUAUCAGCUUGUUGGUGGGGUAAUGGCUCACCAAGGCGACGACGGGUAGCCGGCCUGAGAGGGUGACCGGCCACACUGGGACUGAGACACGGCCCAGACUCCUACGGGAGGCAGCAGUGGGGAAUAUUGCACAAUGGGCGAAAGCCUGAUGCAGCGACGCCGCGUGAGGGAUGACGGCCUUCGGGUUGUAAACCUCUUUCAGCACGGAAGAAGCGAAAGUGACGGUACGUGCAGAAGAAGCGCCGGCUAACUACGUGCCAGCAGCCGCGGUAAUACGUAGGGCGCAAGCGUUGUCCGGAAUUAUUGGGCGUAAAGAGCUCGUAGGCGGUUUGUCGCGUC